rnacentral:lncRNA from 1 species
UUCUUCCAAAGCCCGGAUGGACUUCCUUCUUUGGAGAAGCUUCAUCUUCGAUGCCAUGUGAGAACCACGGACAGCAAGAUGACCAAUAGAAAAGAGGAACAAAGCUUUAAAGGAGGAGAAAUAGGAAAAAAAUGGUGGGGAACAGUCUUGAGGUGGAGAAUAGGUAGAAGAUUCGGGUUUUUGGUCGGAGGAGUAGUCUUGAGGUGG